UACGUAGGGUGCAAGCGUUAAUCGGAAUUACUGGGCGUAAAGCGUGCGCAGGCGGUGAUGUAAGACAGGUGUGAAAUCCCCGGGCUUAACCUGGGAACUGCAUUUGUGACUGCAUCGCUGGAGUGCGGCAGAGGGGGAUGGAAUUCCGCGUGUAGCAGUGAAAUGCGUAGAUAUGCGGAGGAACACCGAUGGCGAAGGCAGCCCCCCUGGGUUAACACUGACGCUCAGGCACGAAAGCGUGGGGAGCAAACAGG
rnacentral:rRNA from 1 species